AUCCUCAAGUGAUCUUCCUGGGAGCAGCUAUGGGAGUGUGUGUGUGUUUGUCAUUUCUGCUCAAGCAGUUUUAAACCGCAAAAGGAGAAACUCUGAACACUGUAGUGUGAGAAUUAAGUAAGGUGCUACAAUAAGGAAGAAGGUCAGAGAGGACCCUCAAUCCUCAGAUCUGAAUUAUGCUGCAUUACAUUUCAACGAGAGGAAAACCACAAGAGGCAGAGAAAAAAGAGGACAGCCUGAAGACUGUGUGUACUCCACUG